ACGGAAGGCAGCAGUGAGGAAUAUUGGUCAAUGGGCGGAAGCCUGAACCAGCCAAGUCGCGUGAAGGAUGAAGGUAUUAUGUAUUGUAAACUUCUUUAGCAGCAGAGUAAUAAGGGGGUCGUGACCCCCGAUGCAAGUAUGCUGAAAAUAAGGAUCGGCUAACUCCGUGCCAGCAGCCGCGGUAAUACGGAGGCUCCGAGCGUUAUCCGGAUUUAUUGGGUUUAAAGGGUGCGCAGGCGGUUUUUUAAGUCAGUGGUUAAAUCGUGAGGCUCAACCUCAUCACGCCAUUGAUACUGGAAGACUUGAUUGCGGUUGAGGUUGGCGGAAUUCGUCGUGUAGCGGUGAAAUGCAUAGAUAUGACGAAGAACACCGAUUGCGUAGGCAGCUGACCAAGCCGUAAAUGACGCUCAUGCACGAAAGUGCGGGGAUCGAACAGGAUUAGAUACCCUGGUA
rnacentral:rRNA from 1 species